AUAACAUUGUCUGCCUAUUUGGAUCCCUGCUCAUGAGUACCAAACACACCUCCUCCUCUCUCUCACAGACGUCCUCCUCUCUUUCUCUCUUCCUCGUUUCAAAUUUUAUUAAUCUCCUUUUCUCUGGUUUUGUUUCAGUCUCUCUCUCUCUUCUACCCACUCUCCUUUCUUGGUUUUACCUAUGGCGACUUUGUUGAGAUCCGAGUGCACUGUUUGAUCAAAUGCAAGGCCCCCAAAGUCCAUCAAGGACCAAAGUUGAGAGCUACAAGUUUUCUCUAGUCCAACUACUCUCUUCCACGGUUGUCCGUAGCAUUUCAAUGGGUGUUAACCCAUUAAAGGUAUCCUAAUUCUUUAAUAGGAUGCUUGGCUUCCAUUGGAAUAAAAUUGUUCAAUCUAUUUUUAGUUUAUGAUUUUUUUUUUUAAAAUUUAAUAUUAUCAUUUCUAAGUUGCUGAAAAUGAUAAAUGAUAAAAACAUAUAUACUCAUUUCUUAUUUAAGCACAUUUGUUUUGUAAUAUGGUUGCUUGGUCUAAUUAUUAGUUCCCUAUUAUUUGUCAUGUCAUUUUAGCUACCAUUUAGCAAGUUUGUUUAUGUAGUGUUGAUUGAAUUUUUUUUUCUCUUCAAUUUCUUUAUGGAUAACUAAAAGAGGAGUGCAAAGAAGUUGGGCAUAAUUGUUUGUGUUUCUUUAUGGUUUUGAUUUCAUUUAUAUGAAUAUGAAAUGUGUUGAAAUCUCUGUUAUUAGAAUCAUACGAUUUGCAAUUCAAUUCAGUGGGUAAUCAAUACGAAUAGGUUGUAUGAAUCGCAAAUAGCCAAGAAUCGUAGGUGAAUCAGUGAACGAAAUCGGUGAAUCGUGAAGUGAAUCGAUUUGAUUUGAUUCGAUUCGCUAAAAUCAAUGUUUGACUUUCUUUUUUAGUUUUUUACUAUUGGAAAAGGGUUCACCCAACCUUUUUAAGGUCUUUAGGAUUACUAUAUGCCAUCUUUUGACUUUCUCCCUCCCUCUUUUGUUAUUUGUUCACAUCUCUUUAUUCCCCUUAACAUUUUAUCCAUAAGUCAGUGGAGUUUUGUUAGUUUUAUUUAUAGAUUUAUUUUUGCUACUACUGCUAUUAUUGAAAUAUAUAUAAAAUUAAGAUGAAUCUUCCUUUCGAAUUCUGCAAACCCUUCAACUCCUUCAUCUGUGUUGGACAUACCCGCCUUAUUGUUCUAGUUUUCUUUUCUUUUCUUUUUUUCUUUUUUCUUUUUUCUUUUUUUUUUGUUGUUGUUGUUGUUGUUGUUAUCUAGGGAAUUAGUUUUAAGUAUGAAAGAUCUUUUCUCCUAAAUUCAAUGCACAAUUUUUUGUUGAGUUGGAGUGUUGUAGAGAAAUUAUAAAUUCAUGUAAGGCUGAUGUUUUUAUUCUUAAUGCUUUGUACAUGUGACGGAGCCAUCGGAAUUUGGUGAGAAGAAUAGUUCUAAAGGCUCCAUCAAUAGAGGAAUGGAUGGCGAGGGGAGAUUAAUCGAAUGAUCAAACUUUUGGUUGAGGAAAAAGUUCCCCUUUGCUAAACUUUUGACUGGGGUGAGGAAAAAGUUCCCCUUUGCUUGACUGGGUUGAGGUUAUGAAUUUAUCUAUUUUUUGGAUAAUGUUCUAUUUGCUAAUUAUUUUUAUUAUUAUUUAUUGUUUUUGGGAAAGACCAAAAGAGUAGCAGUUUUUUGUGUUUUGCUUGCAUUACUUCUAAAUAGUUUGAAUGCUCUCAAUUGAAUCUCAAUUGUGAGUUUAUGAAAUCUUUCUUUUGAGAUUGUGGUUUGAAGAUUUUUGAAACGGAUGCUCCUUGCAUUGUGGUGCCAAAGAUAUCCAUGAAGGUUAUCAAAGAAAGAGCAUUUUUCUUGGCCAGUAAAUCUCUCUUUUUCCCUCUAUAUAUGAAUGUGUCUCUGAAACAUUUUUUUGAUAUAUAGUAGUUUCUUGUGUGAACCCCACAUGUGUCUGGGUGCAUAAAAUAUUUGCUACAUAGAUUAAAAAACACAGAGGGUGUGUGGGUGUGGGAUGAGGGAGAGUAGGGAUAGAGGGAGGCAAAAAGUGCAAAUAAAUGAAUAAAAUGGUG